UCAAGCUACUAAGGGCAUACGGUGGAUGCCUAGGCGCCAAGAGCCGAAGAAGGACGCGGUAAGCUGCGAAAAGCCACGGGGAACUGCAAGCAAGUAUUGAUCCGUGGAUAUCCGAAUGGGGAAACCCGGCCAUCGUCAUGGAUGGUCACCCGCAAGGGAGGGAACCUGGGGAACUGAAACAUCUAAGUACCCGGAGGAAGAGAAAUCAAACGAGAUGCCCACAGUAGCGGCGAGCGAAGAGGGCAGAGCCCAAACCGAGAAGCUCCGGCUUUUCGGGGUUGAGGACCGGCAGAAUCGAAGUCAGGCCUAGUUGAAUUACCUGGAAAGGUAAGCGAGAGAGGGUAAAAGCCCCGUAGACGAAAGGCAGAGCAGAGAGGCCGAGAUCCAGAGUACCACGAAGCACGAGGAAUUUUGUGGGAAGCAGGGGGGACCACCCUCCAAGGCUAAAAACUACUUGGCGACCGAUAGCGCAUAGUACCGUGAGGGAAAGGUGAAAAGAACCCCGGGAGGGGAGUGAAAUAGUACCUGAAACCGUAUGUCUACAAGCAGUCGGAGCGAAAGCGACGGCGUGCCUAUUGAAGAAUGAACCAACGAGUUAUCUGCACUAGCGAGGUUAAGUGGAAGACACGGAGCCGCAGCGAAAGCGAGUCUUAAGAGGGCGCUAGUUAGUGUAGGUAGACCCGAAACCGCAGUGAUCUACCCAUGUCCAGGUUGAAGCGCAGGUAAAAAUGCGUGGAGGACCGAACCGGUGAGCGUUGAAAAGCUUUCGGAUGAGAUGUGGGUAGGGGUGAAAUUCCAAUCGAACGCGGAGAUAGCUGGUUCUCCCCGAAAUAGCUUUAGGGCUAGCCUGAGGUAGUAAGUAUAGGCGGUAGAGCACUGAUCGGGCUAGGGGCCGUAAAGGUUACCGAACCCUGUCAAACUCCGAAUGGAUAUACUGUAGAGCCUUGGAGUCAGACUACGAGUGAUAAGAUCCGUGGUCAAAAGGGAAACAGCCCAGACCACCAGCUAAGGUCCCCAAUGUCGUACUAAGUGGAAAAGGAUGUGGGGUUUCAUAAACAACCAGGAUGUUGGCUCAGAAGCAGCCACCAUUUAAAGAGUGCGUAAUAGCUCACUGGUCGAGAGACCCUGCGCCGAAGAUUCCCGGGGCUAAAGUACGAAACCGAAGCUGUGGCUGUAUACGUAAAGUAUACGGGGUAGGGGAGCGUUCCCAUAGGGUAGAAGUCGAACUGGAAGGUUCGGUGGACUUGUGGGAAGUGAGAAUGUUGGUAUGAGUAGCGAAAAGAAAGGUGAGAAUCCUUUCCACCGAAAGCAUAAGGAUUCCUGAGCAACGAUCGUCGUCUCAGGGUAAGUCGGGACCUAAUCCGAGGCAGAGAGCGUAGGAGAUGGACAACUGGUUGAUAUUCCAGUACCGGUAGUAAUUGUUUGAGCAAUGGAGUGACACAGAAGGGCAGGCAAGCAUGCGAAUGGAAGAGCAUGUGUAAGCGUGUAGGGUGGUGCAUAGGCAAAUCCGUGCACUGAAAGCCUGAGGCGUGAUGCGGAGUGAGCAGAGAUGCGAGCGAAGUUGUUGACCCCACACUGUCGAGAAAAGCUUCUAGUGAGAGAGCUACCGCCCGUACCGUAAACCGACACAGGUAUGCGGGGAGAGAAUCCUAAGGUGCGCGGGAGAACCCUCGUUAAGGAACUCGGCAAAAUGUACCCGUAACUUCGGGAUAAGGGUAGCCACUGUUGUGAAGUCCCAUGCGGAUGGAGCAUAGAGUGGUCGCAGAGAAGAGGCCCAAGCGACUGUUUACCAUAAACACAGGUGCCUGCUAAAGCGAAAGCUGACGUAUAGGUGCUGACACCUGCCCAGUGCCGGAAGGUUAAGGAAGGAUGUUCGGAUUAGUCCAAAGCAUUCGACUGAAGCCCCGGUGAACGGCGGCCGUAACUAUAACGGUCCUAAGGUAGCGAAAUUCCUUGUCGGGUAAGUUCCGACCCGCACGAAAGGUGU
rnacentral:rRNA from 1 species